UCUGACCUCGGAUCAGGUAGGAAUACCCGCUGAACUUAAGCAUAUCA
rnacentral:rRNA from 1 species